rnacentral:rRNA from 1 species
UACGGAGGGCGCAAGCGAUGUUCGGAAUCACUGGGCGUAAAGCGCGUGCAGGCGGCUUGGUAAGUCGGGUGUGAAAUCCCGGAGCUCAACUCCGGAACUGCACCCGAUACUGCCUCGCUAGAGUCCCGGAGAGGAUGGCGGAAUUUCCGGUGUAGAGGUGAAAUUCGUAGAUAUCGGAAGGAACACCAGCGGCGAAGGCGGCCAUCUGGACGGUGACUGACGCUCAGACGCGAAAGCGCGGGGAGCAAACACG